CUGAAUAACUUGUGGAGAGCGGCGCCAAAUGCAGUCGUGAAACGAGAAAAAUAGUCAGGCUAUCACUCCACAAGUAGCUAAAGGGAGUGUGGCGCCGGGUGAGCGCUCCCCCCUCACAAUCUUCGCACAGUGGUUGCGCCUAUUCGGAGUCUGCGCAAUCGCGCCUCCCCAACCGUAGCCUUGGCCGCCUAGACACCCUCCGCGUCGUCCCACGCCGCUCCCCUCCCCCACUGUCGCGAAGCUCCCGCCCGAGCGGACCACGUGCCGGGAACCGGGCGGGGAGAGACCACUCUUGCACCCCUUCCGGCCUCUUCGAACACGCCGGGCUGCAGCCCAUGGUCCCUGGGCCGGGUCGCCUCAGAACUUUCUUAGAUAAGACAACCACAAAGACGCACCCCAGUUCAACGCCAGGGGACACAGAGCUCAUUACGCAAUGGGUAAGACGCAAGGUUGCCUUUGGGAAAAAACGGACCGAGAGUGUUGGCAGCUGUUUUUGAAAGAUGCUGUGUGACAUACUAGGCAACAUCAUGCCUACGGACUCGUGGCCCUUUUCUCCGAGCGGUGCUUCUCCUCCCGCUGUGUGUUCAAUCUGUUUAAUUUUAGGCCUCUGAGAACCCUGGACUGAGACUUUACCGCCAAUGGAUUGGUUGGGGACCCCAUCAUCUUGUGUGACCCUUGCUGCCACCCAGUGCAGCCAUCCAGACGAGAGGUGGCACCUUCCUAUGGACCGUGUUGGCAAAGAAGAGAAUACAGAUGAAAAAGGACCCUCCUCUUGCCUUCUGUCCCAGAGCCGCUUACAGAGAAUGGUUGAUUUUAUGGUCUCCUUGCUCUUCAGGUCCCUCCGGAUGUCACUUUUAUGCUCUGGUGCUGGGAUCUGUGCAUGUGUAAUAGUUGACUUCUUCCCCCUCCCUGCCCCGAGACCUUCUAAGUCCCAUACGGUGAGAUUCCCAAGGCAGUAAAAACUUUCCGAGGAAAUUCAACAAGUCUCAUCCCAUUCAAGGAAUAGAACAUAGGUCAAAACUCAUCAAGUUGUAUACUUUGACUACGUACAGUUUGUUGUACCUCAAUUAAUAUCUCCCUCAGGUGGAAACUAGAGUACCGUGUACUCUAAUGUAUGUGUCCAUUAGUCAUGCUUAUAAUAUGAAUAGGUUUUAAUUCACUGGUUGGAGGAUAAAAACGAUUUCACAUUUCUUUUUAAGGGACUCCCAUUCCCUCUUUCCUUUGUUCUCUUUAGACUCCUUAUUGUGAUAAAUUUAAGACACUGAGGGUACAUUGUCCACAAGGGCCACACCUACCAUUGUGAAGAAGUCUAAUGACCCAUUAGAAGUGGACCCUUUGCAGCUCUUCCCGCCACUGGGCCCUCAAGGUGCUGGGUAAGGAAGGCUCUGGCAUCAACCACAAAUCAUGGCCAGGAUGAGCCUUCUCUCAGUUUAUUCUGAAGCGUGCACAUAAUCUGUUUCCUUUAACUCUAUGCAGAUUAUUUGUUCCAUGUAAACAACCAAGGACACUAAUGGGCUACAAAGCAUUGCUGUUAGUUAAUAAUAUAAUGCAAUAUCAAAUAACCCUAAAGGAGGGUCACCACCUAAAUUUCCUUGAACUAAGAACUUUUCUCUCUCUCUCUUUUUUCUUUUUGAGGGAAGGACCUGACUAACUCUAUACUUGAUGUUUGUUGUUCUCUAUAAUCCUUAAAACCCUAGGCUGUAGCAUCUGUCACAGAUUUAAGGUGACCUCAAACUAAUCUCUGAGGACAGUGGACAGUUACUAGCUAGCCCUAUCUUUGUACAAAUAAUUCCCUUAAGUUUCCCAAAAUGAAUGGCAGCCAACCCAAUGGCAUGGUGUCUUCAUCUCUAGGAACUAACACUGCCAUCAUUCCCUUGCUGAAAAGUAAAUAUUUUAAGAACUGUUCUGUAAAGAAGCAUCACACACAGCAGAGUUAGAAAUUGGGAAGUGGCCUUGGGAUUGGCAGAGCUCUCUGUACCUUCAAGGGACAGAAUUCAGAGGUCCUCACGAAGAGUUUCCCAGAACCUGUCCCAUCCCAGUCGUCCUUCCCCAGGGGAAGUCGCUGCAUGGAUGCCAAAUUCGAAGUGCUGAGCCAGAAGUGGAGCGGAACCUAGUUAAUGAGUAAGGGGAGUCCAGUGGUCAGCAGCCAAAGUUCUUCAGCUCCUUAAUGUUUCCAGUAUUAAAGAUAAAAACAAACAAAGGCAGUAGGGAGACUUGUCAGGUUGAACUAGCCGUUGCAGGGAGUCCCGCUCGUGCCUCGGUGGGCUGCUUCCAGAUGAGUUCAGUUGGCCGAUAAGAGGAAGGAGUUCCUCUGAAGUGAUUGCAGGGCUGAAAAUGUGUGUGUGCCACCAUUUGUCAUCCAAAGUUGCCUAAAAAUAAAGGGACCAUGUGAA